rnacentral:tRNA from 1 species
GCCCGGGUGGCGAAAUCGGUAACCGCAGUGGACUUAAAAUCCACCGCCGCAUGGCUUACGGGUUCGAGUCCCGUCCCGGGCACGA